rnacentral:rRNA from 1 species
GGCCUCUUGGGGUCCGAGUUGUAAUUUGUAGAGGAUGUUUCGGGUACCGCCUCGGUUUAAAUUUCUUGGAACAGAAUGUCAAAGAGGGUGAGAAUCCCGUCUUGGACCGGCGGUAGGGCCUAUGUGAAACUCCUUCGACGAGUCGAGUUGUUUGGGAAUGCAGCUCAAAAUGGGUGGUAAAUUUCAUCUAAAGCUAAAUAUUGGCCAGAGACCGAUAGCGCACAAGUAGAGUGAUCGAAAGAUGAAAAGCACUUUGAAAAGAGAGUUAAACAGUAUGUGAAAUUGUUGAAAGGGAAGCGCUUGCAACCAGACUUGAGCGCGGCGGUUCCCCCUUGCUUCUGCUUGGGUUACUCCGCCGUGUCCAGGCCAACAUCGGUUCUGGGGGUCGGUCAAAGGCUCUGGGAAUGUAUCUACCCACGGGUAGACUUAUAGACCAGGGUGUCAUGCGACCUCCCGGGACCGAGGAACGCGCUUCGGCUCGGAUGUUGGCGUAAUGGUUGU